rnacentral:rRNA from 1 species
UACGAGGGGGGCGAGCGUUGUUCGGAAUUAUUGGGCGUAAAGGGUGCGUAGGCGGUUUGGUAAGUCUUGUGUGAAAUCUCUGGGCUCAACUCAGAGUCUGCACGAGAAACUGCCGGGCUUGAGUGUGGGAGAGGUGAGUGGAAUUCCUGGUGUAGCGGUGAAAUGCGUAGAUAUCAGGAGGAACACCUGUGGCGAAAGCGGCUCACUGGACCAUAACUGACACUGAGAGACGACAGCUAGGGGAGCGAAUGGG